AAAAAGGUAGUGAACAAUGCCUGCCUUUCUGUGUUUAACUGCUGGGUGGGCAUCCCAAGCUUAGUUCAGAGAUUUGCUUUUAAACAUCCCUUGUUCUUCUAAAAUCUCUCAUUUUGCUUGUUUGUAUUUGUGUUAGAACAUAAAGAGGGAAAGCAUCCUGAAAAAUUUUUCAUCAGAACCGAAUUUCACCCCAGCAGUGACUGCUCAUUUGUUUUCUUAAGGCAUGAAGGACACUGGGAAUUUCUCACAGACUCAUUUUUUGGGACAGCAGUCAUUUCUGUUUGGCUGCAUGAGAGGCUUUGCAAGUAGUGCUGAAGCUCUGAGGGGCAGGGACAUUCCAUGAGGACGAAUGAUAAAUAAUUCCUAUACCUUGCACUGUUUCAAACCUAACACAGCAGAAGGAAUUGUUUCCCUGAUUAUCAGUUUAACGGCGCUCCUGACGAGUUCUGCUGCUGAAGAGCACCAGCCUCGGAUGUGUGAGGGGUUUCUCUGGAGGAGAAGCAGUUUGUGAGCCUGGACCUUUGUCCAGUGGGCAGCCCUGGUUUUACACAGGAGGGAUCUGGAACUUAGUAAGGAUUUGGAAGAUGAGUAUGUUUGUUGCUGGAGGUGUGAGGGGGGGAAAGUCCUCUACAGUCCCGGAGCAGUGAUGAGAGAAAGUCCUGGAACAGCCCCUGGAGAGGGUGCUGCUGCUGCACACGAUUCUCCUGGAGCUCAGCAAGAUUUGUUAUGACUAAAAGGAUUGCCACUAAACAGAAUGCAGUCAUUUCUCUUGUCACUUAGUGAAGCAUCUUUUGAUCCAUUUUGAGCUGCGGGCUCACUGUGCAAGGCUGAAAGUAAAUGAGAUGCUCUAAAGAGAUUUUGGUCUUUGUGACUUAUUGAAGGUGGAUAGGACAGAAUUCCUUUGCUCAUUGGGACUGCACAGUUUAGUUUUAUCUGCUCUGUUUCUAAGCACUGCUAAAAAAUGUUAUUUCCCAUGAUUUUGAUGGCAGCAGAGGCUCAGCUGAUUAAUAUGGAUCUAAGUAAGGUCUGUAAAGUGAAAUAAAUAGUCUGAAAACCUGCUAGACAACCCUAUAGGCAAUCUUAACAGAAAAGGAAGAAGCUGAACUUCCAUCUUAAUUUCAGAGAGGAUUCCUCUGUCCUGCCUGCUUUUCCUGCACUGGCCAGCAGCACAGCUUACCCCCUCAAAGAGGUUCCAGCAGGACAGAAGCACAACUCAUUCUUUUCACCCCAACACAUGGGCAGGAAAACCUUUCACAGCUCUCAUCCCAAUUUCUUAUGUGGACCAAAACAGCCUGGUCUCAUCACAACAGAUGUUCUCUUCAUCAAAGUCCCAUGGACAACUGGACAAAGCCUCUUCUUUCACUGCUUGAUCCUCUGAAUUAUUGGGAGGCAUUCCAACUGCAACGUGGCUGGAAAGCAAGGCCAGAAGACAUUGGUAAGUCUUGUGCAGCAGGAUGCCAGCCUUAUUUCGAAGCAUGUUUUUCUUUUUUUUUUUUUUUUUCUUCCCCCCCCCCCCACUGCAUGUGUAAUGGAAAUCAAAGUGUUCAUUAGAAAAUCUUGCCUUUUAAAA